rnacentral:rRNA from 1 species
AAGACCUUGUGCUUUUGGAGCGGCCGAUGCCUGAUUAGCUAGUUGGUGGGGUAAAGGCCUACCAAGGCGACGAUCAGUAGUUGGUCUGAGAGGACGACCAGCCACACUGGGACUGAGACACGGCCCAGACUCCUACGGGAGGCAGCAGUGGGGAAUUUUGGACAAUGGGCGAAAGCCUGAUCCAGCAAUGCCGCGUGAGUGAAGAAGGCCUUCGGGUUGUAAAGCUCUUUCAGUCGAGAAGAAAAGGUUGUGACUAAUAAUCACAACUUAUGACGGUAUCGACAGAAGAAGCACCGGCUAACUACGUGCCAGCAGCCGCGGUAAUACGUAGGGUGCAAGCGUUAAUCGGAAUUACUGGGCGUAAAGGGUGCGCAGGCGGCUCUGUAAGUCAGAUGCGAAAUCCCCGGGCUUAACCUGGGAAUU